GGGCGUGUAGGCGGAGAUGCAAGUCAGGUGUGAAAUCCCGGGGCUCAACCCCGGAACUGCACUUGAAACUGUAUCCCUUGAGUAUCGGAGAGGCAAGCGGAAUUCCUAGUGUAGCGGUGAAAUGCGUAGAUAUUAGGAGGAACACCAGUGGCGAAGGCGGCUUGCUGGACGACAACUGACGCUGAGGCGCGAAAGCGUGGGGAGCAAACAGGAUUAGAUACCCUGGUAGUCCACGCUGUAAACGAUGAAUACUAGGUGUGGGAGGACUGACCCCUUCCGUGCCGCAGUUAACACAAUAAGUAUUCCACCUGGGGAGUACGACCGCAAGGUUGAAACUCAAAGGAAUUGACGGGGGCCCGCACAAGCAGUGGAUUAUGUGGUUUAAUUCGACGCAACGCGAAGAACCUUACCAGGAUUUGACAUCCAACUAACGAAGUAGAGAUACAUUAGGUGCCCUUCGGGGAAAGUUGAGACAGGUGGUGCAUGGUUGUCGUCAGCUCGUGUCGUGAGAUGUUGGGUUAAGUCCCGCAACGAGCGCAACCCCUAUUGUUAGUUGCUACGCAAGAGCACUCUAGCGAGACUGCCGUUGACAAAACGGAGGAAGGCGGGGACGACGUCAAAUCAUCAUGCCCCUUAUGUCCUGGGCUACACACGUAAUACAAUGGUGGUUAACAGAGGGAAGCAAAGCCGCGAGGCAGAGCAAAUCCCUAAAAGCCAUCUCAGUUCGGAUUGCAGGCUGCAACUCGCCUGCAUGAAGCUGGAAUUGCUAGUAAUCGCGGAUCAGCAUGC
rnacentral:rRNA from 1 species